CGGACCACCAGUUGGUGACUGC
rnacentral:miRNA from 1 species